rnacentral:rRNA from 1 species
UACGAAGGGGGCUAGCGUUGUUCGGAAUUACUGGGCGUAAAGCGUGCGCAGGCGGUUGUGCAAGACAGAUGUGAAAUCCCCGGGCUCAACCUGGGAACUGCAUUUGUGACUGCACAGCUUGAGUGCGGCAGAGGGGGAUGGAAUUCCGCGUGUAGCAGUGAAAUGCGUAGAUAUGCGGAGGAACACCGAUGGCGAAGGCAAUCCCCUGGGCCUGCACUGACGCUCAUGCACGAAAGCGUGGGGAGCAAACAGG